CUUCGGAGUGCAAGUCUGGUGCCAGCAGCCGCGGUAAUUCCAGCUCCAAUAGCGUAUAUUAAAGUUGUUGCAGUUAAAAAGCUCGUAGUUGAAUUUCGGGACUAAUAUGUCGGUCGUACUUUGUACGUACUAGCAUUAUUGGUUUCUCCCUUCUGACGAACCACGAUGUCAUUAAUUUGGUGUCGUGGGAAAUCAGGACUGUUACUUUGAAAAAAUUAGAGUGUUUAAAGCAAGCUCGCGCUUGAAUACAUUAGCAUGGAAUAAUGAAAUAGGACGUUUGAUUCUAUUUUGUUGGUUUCUAGGAUCGACGUAAUGAUUAAUAGGGAUAGUUGGGGGCAUUAGUAUUCAAUUGUCAGAGGUGAAAUUCUUGGAUUUAUUGAAGACUAACUACUGCGAAAGCAUUUGCCAAGGAUGUUUUCAUUAAUCAAGAACGAAAGUUAGGGGAUCGAAGACGAUCAGAUACCGUCGUAGUCUUAACCAUAAACUAUGCCGACUAGGGAUCGGAUGAUGUU
rnacentral:rRNA from 1 species